GGGCCCUUAGCUCAGUCUGGUAGAGCGCCUCGUUUGCACCGAGGAGGCCGCGUGUUCGAAUCACGCAGGGUCCA
rnacentral:tRNA from 1 species